AAAAGAAAGCCCAGGGAAUAAAUGACCACAGUACAAAAAUGGAGAGCUUCAUGUAUAACGCCAAAAUGUCAUGUCUGAAGGAGUUACCCACUGCACUAUGUAAAUUAAUCUUAUAACUUAACAGUGAGAAAAGAAAUGCAGUGAAAUGAAGACUUUGAUAGAAAAAAUUACCUCAGAUAUAAAGGAAAAACUACAAGAUUAUUUAAUUCAUAAAAGUAAUCCUGUAACACACUAGAAAGUCCUAAACUACUAUCAAAGUACUCAGAAGAACCAGGCCCUGUAUGUUAGUAUGUAAAUGCUUGCAAGUAUUUCUAAAAUCAGUAGUUGCAAUGUUUCUUAAACUAAUUUUUUUCAAAAUUGAAGAAAGUCAGUAAAUUAAAUAAUCAACAAACAUUCAUUAAAUAUCAGAAAAGUGAUAGUAGCAUAUGCCUGAGAUUCACUGGUGCCUUACUCUGACAUGCUGGCAGAGAAAGAAUGCAAAGGAACACCCCUCCUUCCUGUUCUUUCUCAUCCUUGUGUGUAUCCAACUCCCCAGUGUUUGUAUUUUAUAGUUGUUCUUAUCAUUAAUUUAUGAAUUAACAAAGAGAAAAUAACUAUAAUACUCAAUUUGCAUAACAGGGAAUUUCAUAUAAGUGGAUAAUGGAUUAGGGUAAUGAACAAAAAGUAAACUUAGCCAAACUGAAGAUUUCACUACUAAGGCAGACAAAGUCUUCAGUGCCCUCAAAGAGGUCAGCAUUUCAGAAUGUGGGUCAGCCUCAAAGACCCACUCCUCCUCCUGUUCCCUGCUUCCCUCUUGCAUUAUCUUCACAGGAAAAAAGAGGCUCCUCUCUGUCUCUUACAUAUACAAGGUUAGCUUCCUGCUUUCUGGGCCAGGCUUUGACCACACUGAUGAAAUCAGCAUCCAGUCCCUCCAUGGAACAAGAGCAAAGCAGUUUUAUGCUUGUUGUUGAUAAAUGAGGAAAACGAUUAGCUUAAAAAAUGUUUACAGUUUUAAAAAUAAUGUUUCAAGCUAUAAAUGUUGAAAUGGAAACCUAUUUUCUUAAAUGUUGAAUAAAUAGUAUAAUAUAAGC
rnacentral:lncRNA from 1 species